GCAGUCGCCGCGGGAAUACAGAGGGUGCGAGCGUUAAUCGGAUUUACUGGGCGUAAAGCGUGCGUAGGCGGCUUCUUAAGUCGGAUGUGAAAUCCCUGAGCUUAACUUAGGAAUUGCAUUCGAUACUGGGAAGCUAGAGUAUGGGAGAGGAUGGUAGAAUUCCAGGUGUAGCGGUGAAAUGCGUAGAGAUCUGGAGGAAUACCGAUGGCGAAGGCAGCCAUCUGGCCUAAUACUGACGCUGAGGUACGAAAGCAUGGGGAGCAAACAGGAUUAGAGACCCCGGUAGUCCCUGUCUCUUAUAC
rnacentral:rRNA from 1 species